AUUUAUCACGAGCAGCGGGCGGUCACUGGCCUGGCAUGCGCAAAUGAACUAAGUGCCAGGUUACUACAUUCAAAUUAUCAUCUCUCACCAGCAAGUACUUUUUUUAACAAAAGUAGCAUAACUUGGAACAAUGUCCGCCUGCCGCACAUCAGAGCAAGGUCUGUAUCGGCACUCAAGGGACCGUUGUGUGAAAAAAAGCAGCUGAUUUUAACCCCCACGGCUCGUCUUCCACACCACAACCUGGCUGUGGGCGUCUGCUGGGGGGUGUUCUCAACAUGCCUCAGCUAUCUGAUGCCCUCACCACAUCGAGAAUCUGCCUCAUUCUCACCAUCUCAUCCUGACCAGGUUUGCGAGCAGCGUGAGGACAAUGUGCUCUCACUCCACGCUGCUGCCACAGAGGACACCCUGUCAGAGCCACGUAAACCCCACUAGAAGUCACAAUGCUCAGCUGAGAGGCCCCAAGUCUUGCUUUUGAAACCCUGCGUUCAUUUGGUCUCUGAUGAAGCCUGCUCAGUAACUGUCUCAUCUCUAACUUCCUCUUGACAGCUGGAGCUGAACCUGCACCACACGGUCUAUGCCAGUUCUACAGAAAGCAAAAAGGGUCUUGUUUCAGACACCACCACCAUGAGUGAGGUGUGCACCCACCACCACCAACAACCCUCUGAUCCACAGAAGUUUCCAGGCACCAACUCUGCCUGUCGUUGAACUUGGCUGUUGGAGUCUUGCGGCUCUGAACCUCUAACGCAGACACCCCACUCUUUCCUCCUUUAGCCUGCAGGUGUUAAGACGAGUUCUUGUCUGCAGUGGUCAGGGCACCGCAGUCUCCAUGCCAAGCAGAUUUCCAAACAUGCCGUCUCGGCCGCCACAGCGUCAAUAAACAGCUGCAGGGACGGGGCCUGUGCCAGGGCUUUGCAGAGAAUCUCGCGCGAACCUUCUCGUUCAUCUUCCGGGGAAAUGAGGAGCUCGCGGGUCUGCGCAGUGCUGAGGGCAGCCCAGGCCGAAACGAGCUGGGUGCUGGAUGGCAGCGUCCAGCCUCGCCCCAGACCC
rnacentral:lncRNA from 1 species